rnacentral:rRNA from 1 species
AUUCAUUGGGUUUAAAGGGUGCGUAGGCGGCUUCUUAAGUCAGUGGUGAAAUCCUGUCGCUUAACGAUAGAAUUGCCAUUGAUACUGAAAAGCUUGAGUACAAUUGAGGUAAGCGGAAUGUGUAGUGUAGCGGUGAAAUGCUUAGAUAUUACACAGAACACCGAUUGCGAAGGCAGCUUACUAAACUGUUACUGACGCUGAUGCACGAAAGCGUGGGGAGCGAACAGGAUUAGAUACCCUGGUAGUCCACGCCGUAAACGAUGAUCACUCGCUGUAUGCGAUACACAGUAUGCGGCCAAGCGAAAGCAUUAAGUGAUCCACCUGGGGAGUACGAUCGCAAGGUUGAAACUCAAAGGAAUUGACGGGGGCCCGCACAAGCGGAGGAACAUGUGGUUUAAUUCGAUGAUACGCGAGGAACCUUACCUGGGCUUAAAUGGGGAACGACAGCUGCCGAAAGGUGGCCUUCUUCGGACGUUCUUCAAGGUGCUGCAUGGUUGUCGUCAGCUCGUGCCGUGAGGUGUCGGGUUAAGUCCCAUAACGAGCGCAACCCUUAUCGUUAGUUGCCAGCGGGUCAUGCCGGGGACUCUAGCGAGACUGCCACCGUAAGGUGUGAGGAAGGUGGGGAUGACGUCAAAUCAGCACGGCCCUUAUGUCCAGGGCUACACACGUGUUACAAUGGCCAAUACAAAGGGCAGCUACCAGGUGACUGGAUGCUAAUCUCUAAAGUUGGUCUCAGUUCGGAUCGAAGUCUGCAACCCGACUUCGUGAAGCUGGAUUCGUCUAGUAAUCGCAUAUCAGCCAUGAUGCGGUGAAUACGUUCC